rnacentral:rRNA from 1 species
GACGAACGCUGGCGGCGUGCUUGACACAUGCAAGUCGAACGGGAAGGCCCUGCUUUUGUGGGGUGCUCGAGUGGCGAACGGGUGAGUAACACGUGAGUAACCUGCCCUUGACUUUGGGAUAACUUCAGGAAACUGGGGCUAAUACCGGAUAGGAGCUCCUGCUGCAUGGUGGGGGUUGGAAAGUUUCGGCGGUUGGGGAUGGACUCGCGGCUUAUCAGCUUGUUGGUGGGGUAGUGGCUUACCAAGGCUUUGACGGGUAGCCGGCCUGAGAGGGUGACCGGCCACAUUGGGACUGAGAUACGGCCCAGACUCCUACGGGAGGCAGCAGUGGGGAAUAUUGCACAAUGGGCGGAAGCCUGAUGCAGCAACGCCGCGUGCGGGAUGACGGCCUUCGGGUUGUAAACCGCUUUCGCCUGAGACGAAGCGUGAGUGACGGUAAUGGGUAAAGAAGCACCGGCUAACUACGUG